rnacentral:pre_miRNA from 1 species
CACUAGUAGCAGUUAAGCUGCCAGCAUGAUCUUGUCUUCCUCUCUCAAGAUUCAUGUAUAACUAAGUAAAGCUAAUACAGAUUAUAUAUUUCUUGUUCUUGUAAGAUUAUAUGAUAAUAGCUUCGAGAGAGAGAGACUAGGUCAUGCUGGUAGUUUCACCUGCUAAUGAU